rnacentral:lncRNA from 1 species
UGACAAAGGACCACGACUUGCAGGCCCACGCAGCAUUUACUCUGCAGUUUCAGAUGCCCAAGCCCUGGAUCACUUCAAGCAGUACCCUGCCCUCCAAAUAUACCCUCCUCUGUGGCUCUGGGCACCGGCAAUCAAGACUUCCCUGCAAGGCUGGGCACCAUGGUACAUACUUGGAAUCCCAGCUACCUGAGAGGUUAAGGCAGAAAGAGGAUGUGACGCAUUCCUGUGCCUGGUGCAUCCAAGCUUCAUGGAGUACUCACCUGUGA